AACUAAAUAUAAAAGCUUUAAGUGUACAAUUGCAAAUUGUAAGAAUGUUUAUUAAUUUAGUUUUUAGU
rnacentral:tRNA from 1 species